GCCGGACCUGACUGCUAUCGGAUUGAUACUAAGCCAUGCGAGUCUUUGUAGUAAUACAAGGCAGACGGCUCAGUAACACGUAGUCAAUCUACCCUAUGGACGGGGAUAACCUCGGGAAACUGAGAAUAAUACCCGACAGAUCAUUAUACCUGGAAUGGUUUAUGGUUCAAAUGAUUUUUCGCCGUAGGAUGGGACUGCGGUCUAUCAGCUUGUUGGUGAGGUAAUGGCCUACCAAGGCUAUAACAGAUACGGGCUCUGAGAGGAGAAGCCCGGAGAUGGGUACUGAGACACGGACCCAGGCCCUAUGGGGCGCAGCAGGCGAGAAAACUUUGCAAUGUGCGAAAGCACGACAAGGUUAAUCCGAGUGUUUUCUGCUAAAGAAAUCUUUUGUUAGUUUUAAAAUCACUAUCGAAUAAGGGGUGGGCAAGUUCUGGUGUCAGCCGCCGCGGUAAAACCAGCACCUCAAGUGGUCAGGAGGAUUAUUGGGCCUAAAGCAUCCGUAGCCGGCUACGUUAGUUUUCGGUUAAAUCCAUGUGCUCAACACAUGGGCUGUCGAGAAUACUGCAUAGCUAGGGAGUGGGAGAGGUAGACGGUACUCGGUAGGAAGGGGUAAAAUCCUUUGAUCUAUUGAUGACCACCAGUGGCGAAGGCGGUCUACCAGAACACGUCCGACGGUGAGGGAUGAAAGCUGGGGGAGCAAACCGGAUUAGAUACCCGGGUAGUCCCAGCUGUAAACCAUGCAAACUCAGUGAUGCAUUGGCUUGUGGCCAGUGCAGUGCCGCAGAGAAGUCGUUAAGUUUGCCGCCUGGGAAGUACGUACGCAAGUAUGAAACUUAAAGGAAUUGGCGGGGGAGCACCACAAGGGGUGAAGCCUGCGGUUC
rnacentral:rRNA from 1 species